AGAGUUUGAUCCUGGCUCAGAAUGAACGUUGGCGGCGUGGAUUAGGCAUGCAAGUCGAGCGAGAACCCGCAAGGGGGACAGCGGCAAACGGGGUAGUAACGGGUAGGCAACGUACCCUUCGGAUGGGGAUAGCCACGGGAAACUGUGGGUAAUACCCAAUAACCUCCCUGAUAAUGAUCGUUGGGGAGCAAAGGUGUGAUUCCACCGGAGGAGCGGCCUGCCUCGUAUUAGCUAGUUGGUGAGGUAACGGCUCACCAAGGCGACGAUGCGUAGGGGGUGUGAGAGCAUGACCCCCACCACUGGGACUGAGAUACUGCCCAGACACCUACGGGUGGCUGCAGUCGAGAAUCUUCGGCAAUGGGCGAAAGCCUGACCGAGCGACGCCGCGUGUGGGAUGAAGGCCCUUGGGUUGUAAACCACUGUCAGAGGGGAUGAAAUGCGGGAGAGCAAUCUCUUCCGUUUGACAUAGCCUCAGAGGAAGCACGGGCUAAGUUCGUGCCAGCAGCCGCGGUAAUACGAACUGUGCAAACGUUAUUCGGAAUCACUGGGCUUACAGGGUGCGUAGGCGGCUUGUUAAGCAGGGUGUGAAAUCCCUCGGCUCAACCGAGGAAUUGCGCCCUGAACUGGCGAGCUUGAGUGGGAUAGAGGUGCGUGGAACUUCCAGUGGAGCGGUGAAAUGUGUUGAUAUUGGAAGGAACACCAGAGGCGAAAGCGGCGCACUGGAU
rnacentral:rRNA from 1 species